rnacentral:rRNA from 1 species
GAUGAACGCUGGCGGCGUGCCUAAUACAUGCAAGUCGAGCGAACAGACGAGAAGCUUGCUUUUCUGAUGUUAGCGGCGGACGGGUGAGUAACACGUGGAUAACCUACCUAUAAGACUGGGAUAACUUCGGGAAACCGGAGCUAAUACCGGAUAAUAUUUUGAACCGCAUGGUUCAUAAGUGAAAGACGGUCUUGCUGUCACUUAUAGAUGGAUCCGCGCUGCAUUAGCUAGUUGGUAAGGUAACGGCUUACCAAGGCAACGAUGCAUAGCCGACCUGAGAGGGUGAUCGGCCACACUGGAACUGAGACACGGUCCAGACUCCUACGGGAGGCAGCAGUAGGGAAUCUUCCGCAAUGGGCGAAAGCCUGACGGAGCAACGCCGCGUGAGUGAUGAAGGUCUUCGGAUCGUAAAACUCUGUUAUUAGGGAAGAACAUAUGUGUAAGUAACUGUGCACAUCUUGACGGUACCUAAUCAGAAAGCCACGGCUAACUACGUG